CCUACGGGAGGCAGCAGUAAGGAAUAUUGGGCAAUGGACGCAAGUCUGACCCAGCCAUGCCGCGUGCAGGAUGAAGGCCCUUUGGGUUGUAAACUGCUUUUAUCUGGGAAGAAAUCCACUGUUUCUACGGUGGUUGACGGUACCAGAGGAAUAAGCACCGGCUAACUCCGUGCCAGCAGCCGCGGUAAUACGGAGGGUGCAAGCGUUAUCCGGAUUCACUGGGUUUAAAGGGUGCGUAGGCGGGUUUUUAAGUCAGCGGUGAAAGCUCCGAGCUUAACUCGGAAAUUGCCGUUGAUACUAUUAAUCUUGAAUUUAGUUGAGGUGGGCGGAAUGUGUAGUGUAGCGGUGAAAUGCUUAGAUAUUACACAGAACACCUAUUGCGAAGGCAGCUCGCUAAACUAAUAUUGACGCUGAGGCACGAAAGCGUGGGGAUCAAACAGGAUUAGAAACCCUGGUAGUCCACGCCCUAAACGAUGAUUACUCGAUCCGUGCGAUACACUAGUACGGUCGUAUGCAACGACAUAAGUAAUACCACCGUACGGAAGGUACGACCGACGACGGUUAGUAAACGUUAAACGGUAAAGUUAGUUACGGACGUGUUAGAGUAGCGACGGACGACGACGAGGAGGAGG
rnacentral:rRNA from 1 species